CGGACGGGUGAGUAACACGUGGAUAACCUACCUAUAAGACUGGGAUAACUUCGGGAAACCGGAGCUAAUACCGGAUAAUAUUUUGAACUGCAUGGUUCAAAAGUGAAAGACGGUCUUGCUGUCACUUAUAGAUGGAUCCGCGCUGCAUUAGCUAGUUGGUAAGGUAACGGCUUACCAAGGCAACGAUGCAUAGCCGACCUGAGAGGGUGAUCGGCCACACUGGAACUGAGACACGGUCCAG
rnacentral:rRNA from 1 species